AUUGAACGCUGGCGGCAGGCCUAACACAUGCAAGUCGAACGAGUGGCGGACGGGUGUGUAAUGUCUGGGAAACUGCCUGAUGGAGGGGGAUAACUACUGGAAACGGUCGCUAAUACCGCAUACCAUCAGAUGUGCCCAGAUGGGAUUAGCUUUGUGGUGGGGUAACGGCUCACCAAGGCGACGAUCCCUAGCUGGUCUGCGAGUAUGCCCAUCCACAGUGGAACGGAGACUCGGGCCAGACUCGUAAGUGAGGCAGCAGUGGGGAAUAUGGCACAAUGGGCGCAAGCCUGAUGCAGCCAUGCCGGGUGUAUGAAGAAGGCCUUCGGGGUGGAAAGUACUUUCAGCGGGGAUGCGUUACCCGCAGAAGAAGCACCGGCUAACUCCGUGCCAGCAGCCGCGGUAAUAC
rnacentral:rRNA from 1 species